CUUUCCUACGGGGGCAGCAGUGAGGAAUAUUGGUCAAUGGCCGAGAGGCUGAACCAGCCAAGUCGCGUGAGGGAAGAAUGUCCUAUGGAUUGUAAACCUCUUUUGUCAGGGAGCAAAGUCACCCACGUGUGGGUGUUGGAGAGUACCUGAAGAAAAAGCAUCGGCUAACUCCGUGCCAGCAGCCGCGGUAAUACGGAGGGCGCGAGCGUUAAUCGGAAUUACUGGGCGUAAAGCGCGCGUAGGCUGUUGUGUAAGUUGGGGGUGAAAUCCCACGGCUCAACCGUGGAACAGCCCUUGAUACUGCG
rnacentral:rRNA from 1 species